rnacentral:rRNA from 1 species
CACGUAGUUAGCCGGGGCUUCUUGGUCAGGUACCGUCAUCUUCUUCCCUGCCGAUAGGGCUUUACGCGCCGAAACGCUCCUUCACCCACGCGGCGUCGCUGCAUCAGGGUUCCCCCCAUUGUGCAAUAUCCCCCACCUGCUGCCUCCCGUAGGAGUCUGGGCCGUGUCUCAGUCCCAGUGUGGCCGUCCACCCUCUCAGGCCGGCUACUGAUCGUCGCCUUGGUAGGCCGUUACCCUGCCAACCAGCUAAUCAGACGCGGGCCCAUCCUGUACCACCGGGGUUUUCCGCGCCAUGCCAUGCGGCACGCCGCGCUUAUGCGGUAUUAGCACCUAUUUCCAGGUGUUAUCCCCCAGUACAGGGCAGGUUGCCCACGCGUUACUCACCCGUCCGCCACUCGCGCGGCGCCGCAGGGGCCGAGGCCCCUGCCGCACGCCGCGCCCGUUCGACUUGCAUGUGUUAGGCACGCCGCCAGCGUUCAUCCUGAGCCAGGAUCAAACUCU